CAGGCGCCUGACAAUCUUUCCCAACAGUUGGUGCUGAAAACCCAGGACCCCAGUCCCAGAGUGUGGAUCUUCAUCCCCUCAGUCUCCCCGUCCGCAAAGGCCUUAUGGUACACCUCAUCAACUUCCGAUUCUACUAGGCGUUCAGACAGCUUGUGACAGCUGGGUGAAGGAAGCUCUGAAGAAAGGAGAUGCUUCUAUUCUAGCAUUAUGCCCAAUUGUCAGAAGACCAGGAGCUGCCCUUAGAGAAGAAAUGUUUCCUUAUUCUGUGUUCGAAGAGUUAAAAAGGGCUACUACUGAAUAUGACGUAGUCCUUACAGCACUAAUUUAUUAGAAGGUCCACGGUGGGCCCUGAUCCCUGUGCAUGAGACCUAUCCAUGGCAUGGCAUUGAAGAUUGAACAACCUGAUUCCAAAGGUCCAAUGUCACCUACUCUUCAUGGAUGCCAACCACUACGGCCCUCCUCUGAAGACGCGAAGAAGGAUAACAUGUCCUGAAGAACC